rnacentral:rRNA from 1 species
CCUACGGGAGGCAGCAGUAGGGAAUCUUCCACAAUGGGCGAAAGCCUGAUGGAGCAACGCCGCGUGAGUGAUGAAGGCCUUCGGGUUGUAAAACUCUGUCAUUCGGGACGAACCGGAGUCUGAGGAAAUGCAGACUCUCUGACGGUACCGGAGGAGGAAGCCCCGGCUAAUUACGUGCCAGCAGCCGCGGUAAUACGUAGGGGGCAAGCGUUGUCCGGAUUCACUGGGCGUAAAGCGCGCGCAGGCGGUGAUGUAAGUCUGAGGUGAAAACCCGAAGCUCAACUUCGGGACUGCCUUGGAUACUGCGUCACUUGAGGAUAGGAGAGGCAAGGGGAAUUCCACGUGUAGCGGUGAAAUGCGUAGAGAUGUGGAGGAACACCUGUGGCGAAGGCGCCUUGCUGGCCUAUUUCUGACGCUGAGGCGCGAAAGCGUGGGGAGCAAACAGGAUUAGAUACCCUGGUAGUCCACGCUGUAAACGAUGAGUGCUAGGUGUAGGUGGGCUCAUACCCAUCUGUGCCGAAGCUAACGCAUUAAGCACUCCGCCUGGGGAGUACGGUCGCGAGACUGAAACUCGAAAAGAGUAGUAGGACGUUGAGGAGAGCGACCGGAGGACCACGACGGGGAGGGGUUAGGGAGG